CCUCUGUCACUGAGGCAUGAGGCAGCGCAGAGUCCUUCACUUCCAACAGUUAGAAGCCAGUGAAGGGUCUGAGUGGCAGUUGCUUCAGGUAAGGAGGGGGUGGAGAGAAGAGGUCAGGGUUUGAUUUAGGCACACAGAGAGAAGUUAUUCCUUGAUGCACUUCACAUACUGAGUAGAUAAGGGGUUGAUGGGUGAUGGGAUGGCAGGAAAAUGGGAAAGGUCAGUGUUUGUGUUGGGGCAGCGGGAGAAGUUACUCCUCAGCACUGCUUUGUCAGCUGUAGAGAAAAGAAAGGUUGGUGGGGCUUUUGGAAAUAUCACUGCUAAGAGGACCAGAGGAAGUCAGUGACUUGGUCAUCUGCCUCAGGCACCAGCUGGACUUGGACUAAGCCUGCUGUAGACACUGGAGCUCUGCACAUCUUCAAAUGAACACACAGAGGCUGGGAUUGGAGCUAGCCAACACAAUCACACUCCCCACACCAUUCAUGUUAAUUUGAAUGUCUAUAAAUUGCAAUCACACGGGUAUUGACAUUAAAAUGUUUCUGGGAGCAUAUGAAUGCAGUUCAGACACUUCAAACAGUAUGCCAUCAAUAAAGAGCCAUGUGAAAGUUUUUGCAAAGAAAAAAUGAAUUGUUAACAAGGGCUGUUGCUCCAGAUAAAGCCUAUCAGGUCUUCAAUCAGCUGGGCUUCUAGAGAAUUACAAGUGCCACAUCUUGUAUCUUGCAGCUGCUCGCAGAAGUGGGAGGUAUGGAUUCUAAUUCUGCCUCCUCCACCAUUCGUGCAUCUAACAAAAUUGUUAUUUGCCAAGCUGCCAAAAAACCACCACUCUUCCUGAUAUUUGCAAGACAUUGCUUCCCGCAGCAGCAGCAGCACCACCACCACCACCGGGAAGAUCUCAUAUGAAGCCUGCCUGCCCGCCUGCCUUUCUCUUGCAUAACAACAUUCUUGCAUUCUCCUUUCUCCCCCAUCUUCCUCUAUCUCUCUGUUGCUUUCAAGUGUUUGAAUCAAGAGCAGCAGGAGAAACAAUACUGCAGGCACUGGAGACUGAAAGUCACAUCAAAACAAUAUUGUUUCCCUCUCACUGCUCCAAGAUAAGCGAGAUUUAAAUAGCUUCAGAGGGCUUGAGCCCCCGGCAGUCAUGCUCCAAGAAGAGUGAGGGUUGUCUCAAUCCUGCUGUUUGGAGGCCUUAAGGGCACCACAGGAUCUCAUCCCACCCCAGCUCCACAACAGCCAUUGCUGCAGUCUGGAGCUUACUCCCAGGGGAGUGUGCAAAUGAUUGCUUCCAAGGCAUUAAAGGGAAAGGUUCCCUGAAAAGAAACCAUCUCUAGAAGUGAUUAAGAACUAAGCAACCAUGUCCAGAGGAAAAGAUACAUCUAAAUCCAUACCAAAUAUUUGUUGCUUUUGUUCACUUUUGUCUUUUUGUUUGCUUGUUUGAUUCCAAGCUCUCUCAGAGAAAGCUUGGCAUAAGGGGGGCAGGGGAAGGCUGCGGAGGUGUGAUAAACUGGAAAAGCAUGACAACAGAAUUUAGUUGAUGAUAAUACCAUAAUUUAUAUUGAAUACUAAAACCUACAUUGUAAAGUUAGAAGAUCAAACCACCAUUAAAUAUUUACUGCUCUGAUCUGGCUGCUUUUUUUAAAGGAAGGAAUAUAUAUAUAUUCCUCUGUGUGUGUAUGUGUGCACACACACACACACACACACACGUUUAUUUUCAAGAUAUGUAAUGCCAAUUUUUUAAAAAGCAGCCACAUGGUGGUCUGAAUAUUUUAUUUUAUUUUAUUUUAUUUUAUUUUAUUUUAUUUUUAAAGUUAUUUUGGAGUAAUAGUGCUGCAGGAAACGGCUUGACCCUUGCCAUGCCAUUAUCCAGAUCAAAGCCCCUCUCCCCUAAAAUGCUAUGAUUCCCCCAGUGGAAAACAUACCUUUAUUGUGCCUCAAUUUUAUUUUAUUUUAAAUUAUUUAUUGCUAAGGUGUUAAUAGCAGCUUUGGAGGGUGAUGGAGAUGUGGAAAAUGUGACAGGGAAAGGGCUGUCUCCCAGCACCAGCAAUCCAGUCAAAAUUGGAGUUCCCCGACCCCUAGUUUUGUUAGCUUUUUUAGAAGUCAGGAGAUCUGAUCUUCUAGAUCCAAUGUGCUCAGCCUUUCUGCAAAUAAAAAUUAUGCAUUUUAAAUGUUCCCUGAACUAUUUGAAAAAGUAACAUACUAUGCAUUAAUUUCAGAACUUAGGAAUGUGUUCAGUAUUUUUAGAUUAUCCCUGAAAAUGGGAAGUUUUCAGUGAAGUAGGUUGUUCUCAUUCCUAAUGCACUAAUUAUUGGGGAAACAGUUAAGCAGAAAAAGUGUUUUCUUCAAAACAAAUAACUUAAUUUCCCAAGUUGCAGCCCAUUAUGCCUAUUUGUAUUACUCACAAGACAUUAAGUUUCACAAUGAAACGUAACACAUUGUGACUAAUGCAUCAACCUGACGCACUCAUUUCUCAGUUGGGUCUCAUUACUUGGUAUGCCAGCCAUUUUUAGCCCAAACUGUACCUCCACCCACAUAGUCCUGUCAUUAUUUUGUUGUUUGUUAUAAUACAUUUGUGACAAUCUGAAGUAGAGGCUAAGAGCAAAAAAUAAAUCCUGAUUUUGGAUCAGA